GCAAGGACAGUUAUGCCCUCCGCUUUUCUUGGCUUUUGCCGUGCUUCCUCAUAUGUGUGCAGUGAAUUUCCGAUUCUACCCAUCCAGCCCACGCGUCCUGCAGCCUUUCUUUCUCUCCUUCGAUUCAUCUGUUUCACUUUACCUUUUGGCUCUCCAUUUUCUGGUUUCUCAUCUAGGUUUUCCUCCGCCUUCAUCGUUGUGCGCCCUGUUUUCUAUCAAUUUCUUCCUCUUGGUUUCACAAAAUUACCUCCGGGCAGACACGUUCUUUGAUUUUUGGAAUAGUUGUUGGCUGUUCUUCUCUGUUUUUGGGUGCGAACCGUAUCGAUUUCGUCUUUUUCGCCGUUUUGUUAACUGAUUUUCGCUCAAUUUUGGGUGAUCUUUGUAUUCAAGUGAUCGUCAGACAAAUCGUAUUCAGUUUGGAUAGAAGCAAAGUGAAAACUUUUGAUUGUGGAUUCCAUCAGCAUUUUGAAAGUUGUGUGCUUUUCCAUAUGUGGUUUUUCUCUGAUCAUGUUCA